rnacentral:rRNA from 1 species
UGGGGAAUAUUGGACAAUGGGCGAAAGCCUGAUCCAGCCAUGCCGCGUGUGUGAAGAAGGCCUUUUGGUUGUAAAGCACUUUAAGCGAGGAGGAGGCUACUUGGAUUAAUACUCUAGGAUAGUGGACGUUACUCGCAGAAUAAGCACCGGCUAACUCUGUGCGAGCAGCCGCGGUAAUACAGAGGGUGCGAGUGUUAAUCGGAUUUACUGGGCGUAAAGCGUGCGUAGGCGGCUUCUUAAGUCGGAUGUGAAAUCCCUGAGCUUAACUUAGGAAUUGCAUUCGAUACUGGGAAGCUAGAGUAUGGGAGAGGAUGGUAGAAUUCCAGGUGUAGCGGUGAAAUGCGUAGAGAUCUGGAGGAAUACCGAUGGCGAAGGCAGCAAACUGGCCUAAUACUGACGCUAAGGUACGAAAGCAUGGGGAGCAAACAGG